UACGUAUGGUGCAAGCGUUAUCCGGAUUUAUUGGGCGUAAAGGGAACGCAGGCGGUCUUUUAAGUCUGAUGUGAAAGCCUUCGGCUUAACCGGAGUAGUGCAUUGGAAGCUGGGAGACUUGAGUGCAGAAGAGGAGAGUGGAACUCCAUGUGUAGCGGUGAAAUGCGUAGAUAUAUGGAAGAACACCAGUGGCGAAAGCGGCUCUCUGGUCUGUAACUGACGAUGAGGUUCGAAAGCGUGGGUAGCAAACAGG
rnacentral:rRNA from 1 species